CCUACGGGUGGCAGCAGUGGGGAAUAUUGCACAAUGGGGGAAACCCUGAUGCAGCGACGCCGCGUGAGUGAAGAAGUAUUUCGGUACGUAAAGCUCUAUCAGCAGGGAAGAAAAUGACGGUACCUAACUCAGAAUCGCCGGCUAACUACGUGCCAGCAGCCGCGGUAAUACGUAGGGGGCACGCGUUAUCCGGAUUUACUGGGUGUAACGGGAGCGUAGACGGCAGCGCAAGUCUGGAGUGAAAUCCCAGGGCUUAACCAGGGAACUGCUUUGGAAACUGUGCAGCUGGAGUGCAGGAGAGGGAAGUAGAAUUCCAAGUGUAGCGGUGAAAUGCGUAGAGAUUAGGAGGAACACCAGUGGCGAAGGCGGCUUCCUGGACAGUAACUGACGUUGAGGUGCGAAAGCGUGGGGAGCAAACAGGAUUAGAUACCCCGGUAGUC
rnacentral:rRNA from 1 species